UGUCAAGGGAUUGAGUGUUGGCAUGGUGACGACGAUGACUAAUUUUCCAUGAGAAAUAAGGAACCAUGAGAGAGGAGUGGACAACAAGGCCAACAAGGUCGUCAACCCAUUGAUAGUCACUAAAGGCAUGGUGGUCACAUUCGUGGCCUACAACCCAAGCCCCUGUAAGGACACAACCUUGAACAGCAAUGUAAGCGGCCCAACCCAAGUAGUUAAGAGGACGAGGGAGGAGGUCGAUAUAAUUAGUGGCCACGUAGUAGAGGGUGUAGGCCAUGAUAAGAUCCUGAAUAAGGUAUCGGAAAGAUGUAAUUAGAGACUUUUGGAAGCAAUGGGGUGGAAUGGUUUUCUUCAAGUCUGCUAAUGUGAACGGAGGUUUUUCAUGAGGAGCUCGUCGAAGUGCUUCGGCUGCUGUCUUCUUGCCACUAGGGGGAGCGGACAUGCGCCCACCUGCACCCAUUUUUCUUUACUGGACUACAAAAGAUAAAUCAAGAGAGAAAUGAGCUUACUGAAAACUUACUUAAUUAAAGCUUAGCCAUGGCAUGCAUUUAAUUGAACUAUAUGACGAUUUUUUUAAUUGUUUUUUAUAUAUAUAGAAAAAGUGUAGCUGAAACUCAAAUAUUUGCAUGUUUCAGUACUGUAAGCAUACCUGAAAGAGGUGGUUUUCUUCCGCUGCUGGUCUGUUUUUCCCUCUAGUACUAAUAUCUCUUACUGUUGAGUUGCUUUGCUCUUAAGUUCCCCACUAUUUAUAAAAAGCUAGGGCUGCAGUAAGUUGUCAAGUAUAAUGCACUGAAUAAUGUUAGUGAGAAGCUUAAAUAAUUACUCUCAGGUUCCAUAAGAACUGUCUUUUUAGAAAAAAAAAUUUAUUUCAAUUUAUUUGUCGUUUACAACUUUCUUAGAUAAUAAAUUAUUUAUUUUCCUAUAUUAUCCAUAACUUCUCUCAUUCUCCCAAUAAUUUUUGUCUUUUAUUAAGUUUUUAACUUUCAAUAAAAAGGUAGUGAUAUAAUUUUAUAUAAAUUUUAAUUCUUAAAUAAUAAUAUUAAAUGAUUUUUUUUAUUUAUAUACAUGAAGCUAAAAAGACAAUUGUUAUAGAAUCGAAGACUAAAUUAAAAGCGCCCGCCAUGAACCCACUCGGUUGCUGUCUGGACAUUUAAUUUAGUCCACGUUCUUUAUCAUCAAUUGUUGAUUGGUGUGCGGUAUUACUACUACUAGCUAGCAAACCAGAUUCUCAAAUGGGCUGCUUAACUGAUUACUCAAAUUUUUUUUCGUCCUCAUUGGCGGCUAUAUUUUAUUUUAGUCAUAUAUCCAUUUUAUUUAUUCUAAAAUUGAAGAUAUAUAUAUAUAUAUAUAUAUAUAUAUAUUAAAUCAGUUUGUAAAAUCUUAAUAAAAUUUAAUUGAUAUGAUUUUUUCGUUUAAACAUGAAAAUAAAUGACUCUGAUCCCUCAUCCCUCAGCAUAAAAAGAGAUUCAUUACAAAAUAUACAAACAUUAAGGAUGUGAUUUUGUUCUAUUUUUAUUUCCAAAACUAAAAUGGUGUAAGGAUAAAAACGAAGAUACUACUAUUAUAUGCUAUUAUCAAUUAAGUAAAAAACAACUUUAUUUGUACGUGAAACAAUAAAAGCUAUUAUUACUACUCCUUCCGUCCCUAAUUAUUUGACGUUUUAAAGUUUUUUAUUUGUCCCUAAUUAUUUGACGUUUGUUCAAAUCUAAGAGAAUUAAUGACAAUUUUUCCAAAAUUACCCUUUAUUACUGUGCCUAUUUUUUUGAUACUUUAAACUAUUUCUCUCUCUCUCCUUAUCCCAACAAAAUUUUCCUUAUCCCAACAAAAAAUUUAAAGGGUAUUAUAGACAAUUGAGUACUAUAUUUAAUGUUUUCUAAUCAUUAUUUUAAUUCUUAUGUCUACCUCUAAAAUGUUAAAUAAUUAGGGACGGAGGGAGUAUUAAAUAGAGAACCUUUUCUUUGAAAUGAAUGAGUGAAAAAUCAAGAUUACACAUAAAUUUAUUAAUUAGUUGCGCAAUUUGUAUCCAUAUUGGGUGAGGAAUAUCUAAAUAAAUUUAUAUAAGUACACCACACCUAAAUUGACGAGUCAAGAAUUUAAUGUUUCUUUUAUCUUCAAAUUAUUUAUUAUGCAAAAGUAAUUUAAUAAGGUGGGUGAAGUGCAAAUAAAAUCUUACUUGGUCUCUACAUACUCAUGGUAAGAAGAGUCACCGGCCAGAUUUGAUUAUUAGCUAAUAUAUCAACUAAAGACAGGGAAGUCAGAAACAGGAAACAAAAAAUAAACAUUUCUUUUAUAUAAUCGUAUAAAAAAAUUGUUGCAUAUAUCUUAUUUAUUUAUUUAUUUUAAUCAAUGCAAUAUUUUUUGUAGGGAAAAAAAUUGCAUUCAUAUUAUUUUAUGAAUUUCUUCCAUGACGCAGAACGGAGAAAGAAAAAAGGAAAAAAUUUAUCGACAUAAAUUCUAAGAACACAAACUGGAAUCCACUAGAUAAACAAACGAUAUUAAUCGUAGAAGAUACUAAAUUAUAAAUUAAUUGUCCAAAACCUAAUCCCACAAACCGGAUUUUAUAGCUAAAGAAUAUCUAUAACUAUGAAAAUAAACUCCUAAUAGGUAACUAAUUAAUAUGGUAACAAAUCUUAAUAGGUAACAACUCAAUUACGUAAUAUCAUAAAAGAUUUGUUUCCUACUAAAACACAACAUACAAAAACAAACCCUAUCUAAUAUGAGAAUAAUUAAAAUUAAUAAUAUUCAAGUCAGUUCUGAUCUUCCUGAAGUCAUGUCGACAUUCUCGAAGUCAUGACGUCAUUUCCGUACCCGAAUACCUAUCCCGAAAUUGAUCGUUCCUGCAUGAAAUCUACUGUUCCGAAGAGAAGCAGCACCUAACUCCCGACCCCGAAGUCAACCGAACUCUGCAUUAUUGCCUUCAGAAAUUAGUGUCUUCGGGAAUUAACGUCGUUUCUUCGGACCAGUGUUUUUUCUCAGUUUUUGUCUUAAUUACAUCAGUCAUUUCCACCUGUGAAGAACUCGACCUCGAGUUAUAUUAUGGAAUAAACGGAAUAUCUUCACAAAACUCAUAACGAUCAGAUACAUUGAAAGUACGAGAGAUGUUCAUAUCGACAGCCAAGUCAAACACUUCAGCAUUCUUCGCAUCUAACCGAUUUUCACUUCAGCCUGAACAUAAAUACCAAAACAUAAAUUAUAUCGAAUCUUGGAAGAUAGCUCUUUCCAUGUCUUUUCCCUUUUCUUGGAGAAAAUUCGACCUCGUAUUUUAAAAUGAAGUAAUAUCAAGCACCAACAAUUAGAUAUUCGCCCUCUUCUUUGUACCAUGUAUUCAUGAUGUUGCUUCUCAAAGAAUUUUUUUGGAAAUAAUUCUAAAACAAUCAAAGCCUUUAUAUUAACCUGCACUUGCAACAAAUGAUUAGGAACGAUGAAAUCAAAAAUUUUUAAGUUGUCGAACACAAGAUUAUGGUCAAUCUCAUGAUCAAUCUUAAUCUUUAUGAUGUAUGUAUCCUUAUGUCACGUCGACUCCAAAUCAUGAUCCUCCACAACCACUAAAGUUGGUUCGUCUUUAACAACAACCGCUUCUUAAUUCAAUUACCUCAUUUGUGUCCUCCACGCUUUCCACGUCAAGGAACGAAUCACAUGUCUGAGAAAUAGGUUUGAUGACGCUACAUCUUUCUCAAAGAUUUUCCCUGCAGGCUAUCUUGCGACAUCUCCUAACGUCAUUAAUCAUAAAAGAAAUCUCCCUACUUUGACGUUCUUCUCACACCCUUUUUUCUCAACUUGAUACCGAUGUUUCAACUUGUUAAUUCUAUAUUGUGUUUCUUCUAAUUCCUCCAAAAAAUCAUCAUAUUAGGGCAAAAAGUUUUUACAAUGACGAACAUAAAUUUCAUAAUCGAACCAAUCACAUUCACUCUUAAGAAAGUCAAUAUAAUCCAAUACUUGUUCAAUUCUUGCCUUUGUAGCUUUAGACAUCUUCGCUACACAUAUUUGGAUUGUUAUAUAUAUAUAUAUAUAUAUAUAUAUAUAUAAACAGAAAGUUAAAAGAUAGAUUCAACUAGUUUUACCUAGUCCCCACGAUGAACGAACGGUUGCUCGCAAUUCCUCGUUUAAGCAAUUUCGAUUGUCACCAUUCUCCUUCACAUCGACAUUGGAGUGGGUGCACGUGCUCAAUAACCAUCAAUUUUCAAAAUUCCAAACUACACGUUUUGACAUCUUUAAUUUCAGCAACUACCUUUUGUGAAGUUCUUUCAUUCCACAUUCACUCAAAUGACCAAGUCGCAUGUGCCAUAAUUCUGUGCUGUCACUGUUGGAAUUAUCCUACACAGAAAUUACUGCUCCACCAGCAAUUGUGUACCCUAUCAGCUUGUAGAGGGUACCCUUCUUCUGGCCCUUCAUAAUUACCAUCUAUCCCUUGGUAAUUUUCAUGACACCAUCUCUGACUGAGAUAUUGCAACCUAUAGAAUCGAGUACUCCAACUGAUAACAAGCUCUUCUUCAAUUCUAGAAUAUACCUUACAUCACCUAAUGUUCUGACAAACCCGUCAAACAUUUUAAUUUUAAUGGUGUUUAAUGUAUCCCAGUAAUUUUGCAGACUGCAUUGUUACCCAAUAAAACUAUACCACCAUUGAAGGAUGUAAAAGUAUCAAACCAAUCCCUGUGAGGGGACAUAUGAAAAGAACAACCGGAAUCCAUGUACCAAUCUGUAAGGCUGUCACUGUCUCUAACAAAUAAUUAAUUAAGAGAUCACCUUGUGAAGCUUCAUUUUCUGUUACUGUGUACAGCUCUCUGUCGUUGCACACAUCUUCUUGCUCAACAAUAUUAGCAGAAUUUACAAUCUGCUUACCUUUCUUCUUGUUAUCAUUCUUUAACAAUGGACACUGAUUUUUGUAGUGACCCUUCUCGUGGCAAUGAUAACACUCAACCUGAGAUUUAUCCUUCUUACAUUGUCUCGCCUGAGACCUUUAUUGUUUCUUACCGAAAUACUUCUUUUGAUUAGGACCCCUGUCACACCCAUCUAAAAAAGCAAGAAGAUUGCCUCCUUGAUCUCUAGAAGUAGUGCCCCUGAACUUAUCCUGGUCCAGGACUGUUGACAUCACAUCGUCAACUGCAAGCGUUUCCUUCCCUACAAGGAGUGUAGUUUGGAGAGUUGAGUAUGAAUCUGGUAGAAAGACAAUAAGCAAUAAGGCUUUAUCUUCUUCGUCCAACUUUACAUCAAUACUGGUUAGUUGGGUCACCAAUCUAUUAAACUCAUUAAUAUGAUUGGCCAAAUUUGACCCUUCUUCCAUCCGAAGCCGGUACAAUUCCUUCUUCAAAUAUAACCGGUCUGACAGAGACUUUGACUUGUAAACUUUCUCAAGUUUCUCCCACAAGUCUUUCGAAGAGGUUUCUGUCAAAACCUAAUAUUUGUUUUGUGGCGCCAAACUCAAUCUGAUUGUUGCCACGACCUUUGCUUUAAGUUCCGUCCAUUUUUCAUCUGUUAUAGUCGCUGAUUUCUUCCCUUCUAGUGCCUUUGUCAAUCCUUGUUGAGCCAAUACAUCUUUGACAGUACACUGCCAAAUACUGAAAUUUGACUUACCGUCAAAUGGUUCAACUUCAUAUAUACCUCGCACUUGUGCUUGCCAUCUUCAUAUUUAUGACCUGCCUAAUCUCUCUUUAAACGGAUCAUACCAGUUGGCCAGGUAAGUGUAAGUCAGGUUGGAGUCUCUAUGUGCUUUUGCAACGGUGACUAAUUAAAUAACCACCUUUCUUAAAGGCGCUGCCUUUUGAACCACUUUCAUAGACACCAACUGCAUGAACCAAAAGCUUUGAUACCAAUUGUUGAGAAAUUAGGCUCACACAAAUACACUAAGAUAAAUACAAACACACUACUGUAUUAGAUAUAAAAUAAUAACACCAGAAAUUUACAUGGAAACCCAACUGGGAAAAACCACGGAGAGAGAUCUCAGAAAUUCAUUAUGAAAAUAAUAUAGAAAUUACAAACUCUCAACUGAGAAAUAAACUAAUUAUUUAUUUCUCUCUACACCUUCAUUCUCAAAAUGCUCUAACUAAGCUUUUCACUCUCUAACUCUCUUUGCUUCUCUAAGCUUCUUGUUGUUGUGGUGUGUUAAAAUAAGGAGCCUAAGCUCCCUUUUAUAGGAGAAAUCUGGAUAGGAUAACAAGAAAUGGGGAAUGCUAAAUUCCAAAGUCUGAGAGGAAGAGAAUUUGGGGAAGGCUAAAUUCCAAGGUCUAAGGGGAACAUGUAACGACCCCAAAAAUCAUACAAUUCAACUCUCGACUUCGGUCGUUAACAAUACGUCUAACUUCUGAUUUUUACAUCAUUAUUCAAUGUUAAACUUAAUAAAAUGCGAAAUAAUUUAAACUUUUCUGUCUUCUUACUUUAAUUCCCUGAAUCAUAACCUAUAUUAUCUACACAUCUCUAAAUUAAAUUCAUUUUAUGAUUCGCUUCAUCAGAGAUAUUAUAUAAAAUCUUACAUUUAAGUUCGAUAUUGCUUAUACAUUGGGUAGCUCAAACUUUACAACUAAAUAUGAAAUUUUCACAUCAUAACUUAUCAAGUACAUAUCUUAAAACCUUUAUCUUUACCUACAUUUGAACCAUACAUUGUUUAUUACUCACUUUAUCAGAGUUAAUAAAUAAAAUUUACAUUCAGGUUCAAUACCCUUUAUACAUCGGAUAAAAUUUAAAUUUUAUAACUCAACAUCUAGUAAACAUCAUACAUUAUCAAGUACAUCAUCCAGAACCUUAAACAUAGUUCAAAAUAAUAACAACCCAACCAAAGUAUAUAAAUCUUCAUGCAUUACAUCUGAUUCAUGUCUUUCAAGUAGCACAUAGUGUUACCUUGAAUCCUUAACCUGCAAAAGUGGUUAUUUGCAAGGUUAAGCUUGAUAGCCCAGCAAAUCUAACAAUUUUCAUGCAUCACGUACCACAUAAUAGCAUGUUCAACAUACAUCUCAUAAUCAUUGGACAUAACAUACAUACUGCAGUUCACAUAACAAGUAUAAAGAUUGAGUUCCUUACUAAUUAAUCAACAUUCUUUACUCAAUCAACGUAGUCAUAAAUUGACUUUAACGUUUCAUACUUUCAACAUAUAUGACACAUCAUGCUUUUUGUAAUAAAAAUUUAAAAUUGUUUAUCAUCAAUUUCACAUAGCAAAUAGGAACUGAAAGACUUGUCUUGAUCGUUGUUUACCAAUAACAGAUUAACAUCAUACAGCUAUCUUCACUUCACGUGCCCUACACAAUUAUAUAAUCUUGCACAUCAACUAUUAGUUACAUUGCAACGUAUAAUAGUUAUAAUAUAAACUUUACUCUACAUCUCAUAACCCUCCUUAUUAAUCAAUACACAAUGUUCAACUUGAUUGUGUUAACUUUCGACUUAUAUCUCACUAUAUAUUUAUUCUUAGGUCAUACUCGAAGUUCAUUCAAGUGUUUAAGUCUUACUAGGACUCCUUAUUGGUUUACAUUAACCACAUUUCAUAUCUUAUAAUGUUCACUUCAAUUGAAUUGAAACACUUUUUAAGUUCAUUAACACUUGUCACGGUGUUUCGACGUUUAUUCAUCACACGCCCGAAUCGUCUCUAGCUCUUGUGUAUGCUUAUACAACUUAUCUAAUACAUGAUUUAUUAAUGUUAAAUAUCAUUAUAUUUACUAAUAUUCAUGUUUUAUAACUUAAAACAACAUCUUUUAUCGUCAGAAGCAAUACAUUUGCAUACAUGCAUGCUCGACAUCCUUCGAUUGCCUCCGAAUACACAUCAGUCCUAAAUAUGACCAUUUUGACCCUUGUUCCCAACAUCAAAUUCAAAAAAACUUCAUAAUAAAAGUUGUAAGUCUAUUCUUCCUCGUUUCGGAUCAUCUUGAAUUGCCUCAAUCGAAGUUUAUAUGAAAAAGUUAUGGUCAUUUUAGUAAAAUAUGUCCGGACAAAUUUACUCUAACACUUGGUCAGACUGCCCACCCUCGUCGGGGCGGGGUUUUUGACCUAUAAAAGCCCGCUGGGGCGGAACUUUUUGAACUACAAACCCCCGCCAGGGCGGGUAUUCACAGAUCUCAAUUCUGCAGUUUGUGUUCUUCAUGAUUUUUCGACACUUCCUCCUUCAAAUCUUCAUAACUCGAGUUAUACACAUCCAAAUCAGUCCGCUUUUUACUCUAUGGAUUCAUAAUUCAUAUGACUACAACCUACUAGAAAAUCAAUAAUUUACAGAACCAUUAACCAACCAAAAUCUUGACCAAAAUCUCAUGUUCAUAUUAGUUUUACAUUUUUUAACAUCUUUAACGUAAUCAUUCACCACAGAUUCAAUUCCUAACCAAAUCAAUCCGUUUAACCUUCAUUUUUUUCGUUUUCCAACGUAUUAACAACAUCUACCAUUAAUUUAAAGUUUCCAUCAUGAAUUCAUCAUCAAAUUUUAGUCUCAAAAUAGACCAAAACAUACAUAUUACAACAAAACUCUAAUUCCUCUUAUUUAACACGUUUUCAUGAUUUUGAUUACUCUAAAACCAUUUAUAGAGGAUAUAUAUCAAAUUAUACAUACCCAUACACAUAUAUAUACAACAUCUCUUCAAAUCACCCAACCAAAAUAGCUUUUAAAAAUGAAGAACUUGAGAAACUAUACAUUAGAGCUUUAAAAUUAGAGUAUACAUUUGAUUCUUCUUAAACUUGAUUAGAUGAUAUGAAUCUUCUUCUUCUACCUUCUUUGAUUCUUAACAUUUUCAAUUUACAAAGAAUUUCUUCUCUUUCUCUCUCAAUUUCUUUAUUCUUUUCUGUAUUCUUGCUCUUUAGACUUAGCAAAAUAAUACGUAACUGACAAAUGAUUUGCGCUAAGUUAAGGGUCUCAACAGUUACAACCCACUAAAGGUCAUAAGACCUUGUUUGGUUUAACUUUAUUAAACUUCUUGUAGUUUAUUUUAAUAAUCUUCUUAUCAUAUGUUACAUCAAAUGUCACACUUCAUUUUAUUUAAACACUUAUCCCAAAACAAAUACAAUUUAAUUAACAAAUCUUUAAUCUUCUAAUUUAAUUAUUUAAUUAAAUUAGAUUAGCAUAAUAAAUUACGUACCAAUUAUAAAAUCAUUUAACAUAAAUUAAAUCAAUAUUAUCAUAUUUAAACAAAUUAUUCUCUAAUAAUAUCCGUCGAAUAUUUAGUCCAUAAAUAUUCCAACUAAAAUAUUUAUUCUUUCGAUAAAUAUUUUAACUAUUUAUGAGACUCAUAAUCGAAUUACAUUUAUAUGUAAUAUAAUGCAUUCUCAUCAUUUUAUUAAAAACAAUUAUAUUAAUUCACUAUUUAAAUUAAGUGAAUUACUCACAUUAUUUACGAAAUUUAAUUCAUAAUAACUUCCAUCGUCACAAUAAUAAUUGUGACGCCCCUAAAAUAGGUCUACACAGCCCAUUCUGAGUCGCCAAAUACAUAGUACACAAUUUAAAUACAAACUUCAUUAAUACAAUACGAAAAACGUAAGUUGAGAGUUUUAACACGAAUAUUGUCUCGUAGACAAUAUCCAAACUCAAAUAAAGUCCUCAUUACAAUUGUUUUCGAUCACACUAUUUUAUAAAAUAGUGAGGACUACUAUAACAACCAUCUUGGACCAUCACUCCAUUCCCCGACUAGUUCCGGCUAUAUUCUCAUUUCCUGAAGAGAACAAUGAAAGAAAGGGUGAGCUCAACUAACCCAGUACUAAAGAAUAUUAUGAAUAAUAUAAUGCAGAAUAAAUUAUCCUUAGCCUUUAACAAUGUAAAACUGAUAGAAUACAAUAAACAACAAGUUUAACUGCAGCGGAACGAGCAAUCUAUUAGAAGAUUCAAGUAGAACAUAAUGCUACUAUAUUCUAUGAUUUAAAAGCACAUCAUCAAUAUUUAUCUCUGUAAAAUAUUUCAAUAAAUAAUCUACAUCACCGAAUUAUCCAUGCACCACAGCCAAGGAUAUCCGUUAGUAUCACAUCUACGAAUUAUCCAUGCAUUGCGGGCCAAAGAUAUCCGUUAUUAUCACCAGUGGUCAUGAUCAUGCUAAACAACUGUCCAUCAAUGCACUACGGGCCAAUGAGGACUUUUACCACAUCAUUUGUAACAUUACAGGUCAUGAUUAUACCGAUACAUAAUUCUUGGUCAUAAUCAUACCAAUCAACAGUCCAUCUAUGCACUACGGGUCAAAGAUGACUUUCAUCAUAAUAUAAGCAUGAGGAUGAUGACAAUGAUAUAUGAAUUCAAUUAAGUGAGAUCAAUGAUAAAUUUUAAAUAUUUAUAAUUCAAUUUAUCCAGAGUUUAAGAAUGUCCAAAUUGUCAACAUGAUAACUGCUUUGUGGAGUAAAAUUCAAGAAUAAUAUUCAUGUAUCAAAAAUAAUUUGGACAGAAAAAAAAUCAUUUUUUAUCGUGAAUAGUACCCCAUGAAUAGUACUUCAUGAAUAGUACCCCGUGAAUAGUACUAUAUGAAUAAUACCAUAUAUAUGAAUAGUGUCGUAUAUAUGAAUAGUACCCAUGAAGAUAUAGUACUCCAGCAUGAAAAGAUUAAAAUUUUAUAAGAAUGUUCAGAAAACUAUUUCAGUGAAACGAUACUAGAUGAAACGCAAAUUUUAAGGAUAUUCUACUAAUUUCAAACAGUACAAAAGCAAUACUUAUCAAAAUAAGUGUAGAAUUAGGAAUAUGGAGCGAAAUAAUAUUACUUACAUACUACAAAGUAUGGAAGAGAAUAUUAUUUCUUACGAAUAUUGAAUGAAAAUAAUAUUCAUUACCUUAAAAUGAGAGUAUUUCUGACUGGUAUAACGGGGAUAUUCUUGAAGAAAAUUUAUACUAUUUUCUACACUCAAACCUUCCUUAAACUCAAAAGAAAUACGCUCAAUAUUAUAGAAGAACAAUUCUCUGAUUCUGGUGUGACAGGGUACUAUUUGAAUUAGAAAAUCACGGACCAACAAUAAGUUUUUCACGGGCACUGCAACCGGCGAAAAAAUUUAAUUUACUAUGCAGCACUGUGCAAUAAAAUAUUCUAAUAAAACGAAAACUUUAAAUAAAAUAUAAUAUAUUCUAUUUUAUAUACAAAAUUUUCUGUGUUAUUACUAUUAUAAUACUAAUAAAACAAAACUUAUAAUAUAUAUAUAUAUAUAUAUAUAUAUAUAUAUAUAUAUAUAUAUAUAUAGUCCGGAUCUUAAGCUCACCCCUUAUUCAACUCACUCAAGCUCACUCCCCUUUAGCGACGGACCCGACGACGGUUCGGUCAUACAACCGUUGUCUAUACUUUUAGCGACGUUAUAUGUUAUCCGUCGCUAAAAGUAUAGACAACGGUUGUAUGACCGAACCGUCACCGGGUUCGUAGCUAAAGUGGGGGUGAGCUCAUGUGAGUUGGAUAAGGGGUGAGCUUAAGAUCCAGACCGUAUAUAUAUAUAUAUAUAUAUAUAUAUAUAUAUAAGUAAUAAAACAAAACUGAGAUAACUUUCUACCGAUAAUUUUGAAAAAUGAGUAAGUGGGAUCCAUGUAAUAAGCCAAAUUUACAAUAAAUACUUCAUAAAAAAUUUCUCUAUUUAUCUCAAUUCACUUGCCUUCACUAAACACAUAUAUAAUAACAUUUAUUCAUCGUUAAUAUUAUAACUCGUAAUAUUAACAACCAGAUCAUUCCCAGAAAAGAGGGAGCUUUUCGAAAAGGACUUCUCCUUAUUGGCGCGCUAUUAGAUGACCAAAACCCCUUGACAGAACUUUCUAGACAUUGUCAAUAAUGCAAAUAAUAAUAUAAUUAACCGUUUCAUCGCAAUUAUUAAUUUAAUAAUAUAAAAUAUUGUACAGAUGAUACCGUGAUAAUAAUUGAAUCAAUAAUAUGAGAUACUAUUAUGCAUCAACUACUGUUGCAAUAAUUGAAUAAAAUUGAGUGAUUUCUCACGUAAGCAUCAAUAAUCAAAGAUACUGUACAAUAUCGUGUGCUACUGUGCAACCACGUGUAUUACUGUACUUUUAUCACUGUGUAUUUCAACAGUUAACGAUAAAAGUCUUGCCGUUAUUUUUAUAACAAAGUUAUUUCUGUCGCUUUAAUUUCUUCAAUAGUUUAACUAACUAUUAAACCUUUUUUUCCUAAUACAUGAAUAUAUAUAAUUCUCUUCACACCAAACCACAUAUUUCACAAUAUAUAUCACAUAUAUACAUAUUUCUAAACUCAAAACAUCUCAUAAUAAGAAUUUUAUUUAUUAAAUUCUUAUUUAAAUAAUUUCUAAAAAUUCAAGUUGUCACAGAAUUAGAGAAUUUGGGGAAGGCUAAUGCUACAAAUUAAUACAAGACCUAAUCUUAGAUUGAUAGAAUUGAAUUGCAAUCGUGGAAAUUUUUGAAUUAUGAACCUGGACUUUUUAUUUUUAUAUUUUCAAUGAUUAAACGUGGCAGGGCCAAUUUUAAACUGUACAGUUUUAUGUAUUUCCCAAGUCCUUAGAACUGAUUGUGCACAUAUGAGAAAAUAAUAUGAAUAUAAAUAGUAUGAGGAUUUAGAAUGGUGUAUUUAUGUAUGCAUAAAUGGAAAUAAUUAGAAGAAUUGAUUGAAUUGUAAAGUAUGGCAUACCAUGUCCAGUGGUUAUGCUCUACAUUUAUAAUCAUUAGUAUUUAUGGCACACACUAUGUGUGGAGCCAAGACCCAAAUAUCGGCUUGUGUUCUAGCCAAUUAGGUGUGUUCUGGAUGUAAAUUGAAACAGAGAGAUGUUAUUUAGUAGGGGUGAGCAUGGUGGGGUUUGAAACCCAAAUCGCACACGAAAUCAUUUAGGUGCGGUUUGACAAAUUUAAAAUCACACAUAAAAUCGCUUGUGAUUAGUGCGGUGCGGUUUCAUUUGGUGCGAUUUCGGUUCCAAAACCAAUUGAAAUAACAAUAUUUUAUGCAAUUUAAAUUAACAAUUUAACAUCACACAAUAUUAAAUAUCACUUUGAUAAUAUGCACAACCUUACUUAUAAUGUUUUGUCUAAACAAAAGCUAAAUAUAAUAGAGUAAUAUGAUGUAAAUUAUUAGAGUAGAAUAUAGUAGAGUAAACAAAAGUUAAAUACAAUAUUUGUUACUCUACUCAUAGUACGUAACAAUAUGUUGUAAUAAUUUACAGGCUACUCUACCAUAUUACAACAUAUUGUUACUAAGAGUAGCUCAAUCAUAUUACAACAUAUUGUUACCAAAGAUCAUAUUACAGUAAUAUUACAAUCAUAAUACAAAGAGUCAGAAACAUUAUAAGUUACUCCACCAACAUGGUGAGGUUUUGGUUUUAUACGUGCGAUUUUGGCUAGUAACUAAACCGAAACCGUAAAUUUAGUUUUUCAACUCACCUAAAAUCGUCACAUACACCGAAACCGUUGGUACAGUUUUAAUUGGUGCGGUUUAUACGAUUUUUGGUGCGGUUUUCAGUUCUAAUUUGGUUCCUUACUCAGUCCUACUAUUUAGUAUGGCUGAAUAAUAUAUUUGUCCCUUUAAGUUGUCAUCCACUUUUAAAGUUAUCUCUAAAUUUUUUUUUUCCAAUUGAGUCCUUAAAGUGAUAUUUUAUGUCAAUUCCAUUUUUUUACCAAUUCCGCAUAAACCCGCACAAAUAUUUACUUGACCCGACCCAUUUUGACCCAACCCAUUUUAUUAAGGGCAAUUAUAUCUUUUUUUUAUUAGUAUAUGUAUUCUUAAUAUUAGAAAAUUUAAAAACAAAAACAAAAAAUAGAAAUUAAAAUACAAAAAAUAGUAAAAGAUAUAUAAAAAAACUAAUUCAAUUUCUUUUUUAAAAAAACUAGAUACUUUUAAAAAUUAUUAUUAUUAUUAGGAAAAUAUGGGCAAGGAAAUCAUACCUUCCUAGGGUUAGAGUUUCGUGUUGACUAUGGAGAAGAGAAAUCUACAAAAAGAAUGAUAUUGAUUGAUGAAUUGAAGAAGGGAAAAGAACAAGUAAACAAUUACACUAAUAACACGGGACAAAACUCUAGGAUCCAAGAGUCUUCUAGAGUAUCCAGGAACCAGAGAGCCUUGAUAUGUGCUUAGGAUUGAGAGAGAAUCCGUCAGUCUCAAGUUUUUCCAAAAGUCCCCCUUCUCGAUGGAAUGAAAUGAGUAUUUAUAGAGUUUCUUGGAAAUUGGUUACAUGUCAGGCACAAGACCUCGGGGAAAAUUCUAGAAAUGCCCUUAGUCACCAAAAUAAUGACCCAAAUUGUCUUGUCCUUCUAGUCACCAAUCAGGCCAAUCACUCAAUCAAUUCUUGAAAUGGGUUGCCUCAAUGAGCCUUCCGCCUUGGGACUCGUGAAGGCCCCUCUUAAGUCUCAUCAAGGUUCAUAUUGUUCAACACAAGAUUUUUUGUUCUUCUUUCUUUGUCUGAACAUUUUGUCGCUGGAAAUCUCGAAGAAACUCGACACGGGACAAAGGGAGGCCUUGCCCUAGCGAACCUUAGGGGGGGUGAACCCUAGAUUUGUUACUCCCUCGAUUUUCUUCGUUCAUCUUGGUCUUUCUUAAUCGUUUUCAUCAUUUUCUCCAAAUUCUUGGCCCUAUGAGAAGCUUUUCUUGUCAUGGAGAUUCUAAAAUCAAUCAUUUCUAGAAUUUUACAAGUUCCUUAGCUUAUUUUUGUGGUUCGAGCUUGUUGUUUCGUCAUUACAUCUCUUAAAAAUUGUUCGGCACAAAAAUCGAGAAAAUAAACUAGUGCGCGUCCUAAGUGGCCGAGUGCGCGCCCUGGAUGGCCGAGUGCGUGCCCUAGGUGGUCGAACCCUAGAUUUUUUUUCUUUUAUUCAUUUAUAAGUUUGCUCAUUAAUUGCGGUUUUGAUAAUUCAUUAACGUCAUUUCCAUCCUUCAUUUAAUUCAUUUUUGGUCACAUGUAAGUAGGACUGAACAAAAAACGGGUAUAACCGAAUUACCGAACCGAACCGAAAUUCUCUGAUAAUUCGGUUAUUUUCAAUAGUUCGGUUAUACCCAAAUUUUGUUACGGUUUUCGAUUAGUUUGUACGGGUAUUACUUUUGGGUUAUUCGGUUUAACCGAAUAACCGAACAACACUUUAAUAAAUUUCUAAUUUAUUACUUUACUAAAUUCUCAAUCCUUCAACAGUUUUCACUACUCAGCCGGUCAGCCCAUAACCUAUUCAAUAUUCGUUACUUUACUAAAUUCUCGAAUCUCGAUUCUCGAUUCUCGAAGACGAAGAUUCCGAAUCUCAGUCUCUCAACGUCUCACGCUCAGAUCCAGUUUUCCAUCGGCCUUCAUCUCGAACUCUCAGUCUCAGACCUCAGUCUCCGACAGGACCUGCUCGUGCUACUUCUUUUCAGCCGGACAUGAGCAACAGCGGCCACGGCCAGCCUAAGCUACUGGACUAUGAUGAUUUUGUUACUCGGCUUGCUGCUCUUAGAGGGGAGGGAAAAUACAGAUAGAUAGAAUAUAGGUUCUUUCAUUGUCAUAAUUUCUAUUUUCUGCACAAUUUCUAUUUUCAUUUGUCAUAAUUUCUAUUUUCUGCACAAUUUCUAUUUUCAUUGUCAUAAUUUAUAUUUUCUGCACAAUUUCUAUUUUUUAUUUUAUUCUUUCUUUUUAUUUCAUUCACUCAAUCGCAUAAAUCUCAAUCGCUUUAUAUAAGGUCCGAUUGUGUUUCAUUUUAUUUUCGUUAUACGAAAGCAAUUAUUGAUGCAAGAGAAUUCACAAGUUUUACUUCUUACUUCCUGACUUUAAAUAUAUAUAUAUAUAUAUAUAUAUAUAUAUAUAUAUAUAUAUAUAUAUAUAUAAACUUUCUUUUUUCAAGAAACGGCCAGAAAGGCUUAAUUUUAUUUAUAAAUGAGUCACAAUUUCUAUUUUCUGCAGGCAAAUGAGGCAAUACUUUACAGAUUAGCAAAUGAGAUAAUAUUUACAGAUUAGGCAAUACUUUACAAAUUUUUGUGUAAUUGUGUCUGUGCAUGUGUAAUUUCUGAGAUUUUGAAAAAAAAUUAGGAAAAAAUUCUGUAAUAUCCUCUUUGUAUUUUAGACACUACAAGUAGGAGGUUCUGUCAUCAUCCAUUUUAUCUAUCAUGUUGGAAAUAACUUGUUGCACUUGUACUCUGCUUGGUAUAAGUUUAGCAGAUCCUGGUCCAUGGCACUUGUACUCUAAUUGGUAUAAGUUUCUGUUUCCAAUUCACAACAUGCUGGAAUAGGCUCUGCUUGGUAUAAUUAGUUUAGUAAAUAUUUAAGUCAAGUAUCUUACUAUGUACUGCCUGGGUAUCUCCAGUUGGUCCAUCCUUCAGGUACAAUGGUCUUUGAAAUAUAAGUGUGUGCAAACAGUUAAUUUGUUAAACAGUUAAGUAGUUAUCAGUAAAUAUGUUGGAUGUUAGUUCGGUUAUUACCCGAAUACCCGAAAUUACAAUUCGGUAAUUCGGUAUUCGGUUAUUUUCAAAUUUCGGUUAUUAUUUAGGAUAGUAAAAUUAUCAAUAAUUCGGUUUUCAGUUAUAACCGAAUAGCUUAUUCGGUUCGGUUAUAACCGAAUGAUAACUCCUACAUGUAAGCCCUAAUUUGCACUUAGGCUCACAGAAAAAAAUAUGAAUUUUUUAUUUUAAAAAAGAUGAGUACAAUUUCAUAAAAUAUAAAUUCAAAAAAAUUAAAGUUUAAAAUUUUAAUUUUAAUUUUUUAAAAAGUUUAUUUUUUAAAUAAAGUUUGAAUUUUUUGAAUCUAUAUUUUAUGAAAUUUAUUCAUUUUUGAAAAUAUAAAAAAAAAUUAAUUUUGUUUUCUGGAAACAAAGUUUUUUUUAUUUACUAUUUUUGAGUCUAUAGUUUGGAAACUCAUUUUUAAAUAAUAAAAAAAUUCUAUUUUUUCAGAAAAUAAAGUAUUUUUUUUAUUUAAUUUUUUUUGAAUCUAUAUUUUAUGAGGUUUUACUCAUUUUUUUAAAUAAAAAUUCUAAUGUUUUAUUUUUUGAAAAUAAUAAUUAAUUUUAAAACUUUUUAUUUUUUAAAAAAAAAUUGAAUUAGUGAUUUUAUGACCGAGUCAAAAUUUGUGAAAUUGAGAAAAAAUAAUAAUGGAAUUGACUUAAAAUGCCAGUUUAAGGACUGAAUUGAUGAAUAAUAAAAUUUAGAGAUGACUUUAAAAGUGGGUGACCACUUAGAGAGAUAAAAAUGACAUUCAGUCAUUUAAUAUUUAUAUAUAAAGUAUAAGCUAACCUAAUAACCCGUGUGAAGCACAAGUUUAUUUUUUUUAAAUUUAAAUUACUAUUAGUAAAAGUUUAUUAUUUGUUUAUUAAUAAUAAAUAGUAAGAGACUAAAAUAUUACACUUAUUAGAAGUGCUAUUUAUGAAAUUUGCAUACUUAAUUUAUUACGAAAAUUUUCUAUUUAGUAUAGUGAAAUUUGUUCGGUGUAUCCAUUAAUAAAAUAUUUAAUGUCUUAGAUACUAACUAAGAUAUUAUAGGCUAUUUAUAUUAUUUUUCUUAAGGUAAAAGAUUGGAUGCAAUCUAAUUAUAUUUGAUACGGAGCUAAAAUUAAAGAUAACACAUAAAAGAAUCUAAUUAUUGUAGUUGAUAGUGAUCUUUUAAUUUUUUAACUUUAUUCUGUACGUUUUUAGGAUAUGUGAAAUUAAUUUAUUCAUGUCAUAAAUUAAAUUUAAUCUAUAAUUGUAUUUUGUAAGGAAUUUUUGUGUGUACGUGUUUUUAAGUUGGAGUUUUAGUUCUAGUCAAAUUCUAAACCAUGGUGUUUUUAUAUAAUUAUAGUAGGAUUAUUUCUUAUUUAUUAUUUAUAUUAGAUAUAUAUAUUUUUCACUGUUAUUUUGUGAGAAUUAGGUUAAAUCUGGUAGUGAUAGAUAAUUGAUUGAUCUAAAAGUAGCUUCAAGUAUUUUGGAUCAAAUAUAAAGCUUUUAACCUACUGAAAUAAAUAAAAUACUCAUAAUGAUCGGUCAAUAUAUUUAAUGAACACAUUUUUUUUUAAUACUUAUUCAUAAUAUAUCUAAAUUGGAUAACUCAUCCAGUGGACGAAAAAUAGUUUUUCAAAUCGAUUGAUGUAUUGAUGUAGUUAUAUCAUGCAGCCUAAUUCAUAUACAUGCAUCAAACCAGAGUGUACUACUACUACUAGCUAGCUAGUUGAACGUUCGGAGUUUGAAUUUUGUUUGCAUUGAAAAAAGUUGGUCACACAAAUUAACUUUCACCUCAUUAAUUGUCUUAAUUAUAAUAGACAAUUAAUCUUGCAUGUUAUGGAAGAUGAAAACAAACAGCUAAAUGCUACAGAUGAAUGCAUGUAAAUAAAUAAAGAAAUUUUCACCAGAAAGUAUAAACAGUUUAUCGGGAUAAUUGUUUUUAUUAUUUAUUAUUUAGUUAGCAGAUGUAUACAACAUCUACAUCUGCUAACUAGUACUCGAACACUUCAAAUAUUACAAUUCAAGGGGGAUGACCUGAACAUCUAAUACAACAUGUUCAUUAACGACUUAAUUUAGUUGUUCACUCCGUACAAGGAGUUUCUCGAACACAAAUACGCAUUGACAAGUAAAGAAAGCCCAUUAAUGUCAGCACAUGAUUAAAACUUGUUCCUGUACCAAUACACUCCUUUUGUCUCACCUUCAUCUUUCUCGACAUAAAUACACUCCUUCAUUUCUCUAUACAUCGCCUUAAGUAUUGGAGUUCCAUCAUAUUGAUAAUAUUCACCCAAUAUUGGCUUCAUUGCCUCAGUUGCUUCUAGUCCAUGAUAAUGUGGGAUCAUAGAGAAUAUGUGGUGACAAACAUGGGCAUUACAAACAUUAUGGAACACCUUGUUCAAAAUUCCAUAAUCUCUAUCUACGGUGCAUAGGGCUCCCCUUAACCAGUCCCACUCGGUGGAAUCAUAGUAAGGCAAGGAAGGGUGAGUGUGGUUCAAUAUGGUGAUCAACACGAACCAACCGUUAACAACUAGCAAUGGACCUCCAUACACGCAAAAAACCCAUGCAAAUCCUUUGGCUAAAACAAGACGAUAUAGACCAUAGAUGACUGCAAGAAUAGCAACAUCAGAGAUGAUGAUCUCUUUGCGCUCACGGUCUGAAUAGAGUGGACUGUGAGGAUCAUAGUGGGAAGUCCAUCUUUCGUACUUGUGGCCGGAUAUAUUGAACAUCAAGUAUAAAGGAAAACCAAUAAGGAGUGUGGUAAUCCAAACAAACACUCGGCCAGGUGGAUUGUUAAGGAUUUUGUAAUAGUUGCGGAUGUUGGACUUAAAUCUUGGGACAUACACCUCGUCAUUUUCAAGGGAUUGGGUGUUGGCAUGGUGACGACGAUGACUAAUUUUCCAAGAGAAGUAAGGGACGAGAAGAGAUGAAUGGACAACAAGGCCAACAAGGUCGUCGACCCAUUGGUAGUCACUAAAGGCAUGGUGGUCACACUCGUGGCCUACAACCCAAGCCCCAGUUAGGACACACCCUUGAACAGCAAUGUAAGCGGCCCAACCCAAGUAGUUAAGAGGACGGGGGAGGAGGUCGAUAUAAUUUGUUGCAACAUAGUAGAGGGUGUAGGCCAUGAUGAGAUCCUGAAUAAGGUAUCGGAAAGAGGUAAUAAGAGACUUUUGGAAACAAUGG
rnacentral:lncRNA from 1 species